GAGCCCAGCACCGAAUCCUUCACCAUCUCGGUGACAGGAAAUGUGGUGUUUAGGCCGUACCUUGUCCCGACACGUCUCUCCUCAAGUCCACUUGAUUGUGGCCCCAGGCCCAGAGAGGGUGUAAGGCCCGUGGAGGCGAGACGUUCGGUACCUGGUGCGUCCUUAGAGUCGGGUUGUUUGGGAAUGCAGCCCUAAGCGGGUGGUAAACUCCAUCCAAGGCUAAAUACCAGCACGAGUCCGAUAGCGAAGAAGUACCGCGAGGGAAGGUUGAAAAGAACUUUGAAGAGAGAGUUCAAGAGUACGUGAAACCGCUGAGAGGCAAACUGGUGGAACUGAAAUGGUCCCGAGGAAUUCAGCCGUUGGUCGUUGCACAGUCUUUGGUGAUUGAUCUAACGACGGCGCCAUUGAAUGACGUUUCGAUCAUCGGUGCACUUUCCUCGCCUGGGCCCGACCACGACCGGUGAGCUGAUCUGUCUGUCGUGCUUGGAAGAUAGCGCCGUCUUCGGAAGGCGUGUUAUAGACAGGCAUACGGAGCAGUCGGCGCACUGGAUGAUAGUGCCUGCCCAUCUGGGCUCAUAUGGUGGUUGUUUUGUUGGCGAGUUCUGAUGUCACUACUUCGGUAGAGUCGUUAGACUCUGUUGGCAUUAUGGCUGUCCUCUAUGAUUGGCACUGUUAAGUCUGUGGUUGUGAAGUAGGUAGUCCACCUGACCCGUCUUGAAACACGGACCAAGGAGUCUAACAUGUGCGCGAGUCAUUGGGUUCACGAAACCUAAAGGCGCAGUGAAGGUAAAGAUCUGUUUUGGCAGAUUGAGGUGGGAUGCCGGGUUACGCGCCCGGCCGCACUACCGGCCCGUUCUAUAUGUCUUUCAUAGGAGCGGAGCAAGAGCGUACACGUUGGGACCCGAAAGAUGGUGAACUAUGCUUGCGCAGGUCGAAGCCAG
rnacentral:rRNA from 1 species